GUGAACGCUGGCGGUAGGCCUAACACAUGCAAGUCGAACGGCAGCACAGUAAGAGCUUGCUCUUACGGGUGGCGAGUGGCGGACGGGUGAGGAAUACAUCGGAAUCUACUUUUUCGUGGGGGAUAACGUAGGGAAACUUACGCUAAUACCGCAUACGACCUACGGGUGAAAGCAGGGGAUCUUCGGACCUUGCGCGAUUGAAUGAGCCGAUGUCGGAUUAGCUAGUUGGCGGGGUAAAGGCCCACCAAGGCGACGAUCCGUAGCUGGUCUGAGAGGAUGAUCAGCCACACUGGAGCUGAGACACGGUCCAGACUCCUACGGGAGGCAGCAGUGGGGAAUAUUGGACAAUGGGCGCAAGCCUGAUCCGGCCAUACCGCGUGGGUGAAGAAGGCCUUCGGGUUGUAAAGCCCUUUUGUUGGGAAAGAAAAGCAGCAGGUUAAUACCCCGCUGUUCUGACGGUACCCAAAGAAUAAGCACCGGCUAACUUCGUG
rnacentral:rRNA from 1 species